AACCUUUACACUGCACGACAGUGCGAUAGGGGGACUCCGAGUGCGAGGGCAUAGAGCCCUCGCUUUUGUACACCGUAAGGUGGUGUACGAAUAAGAACUGGGCAAGACCGGUGCCAGCCGCCGCGGUAAUACCGGCAGUUCGAGUGAUGGCCGAUUUUAUUGGGCCUAAAGCGUUCGUAGCUGGCCGAUCAAGUCUGUCGGGAAAUCUGCUCGCCUAACGAGCAGGCGUCCGGCGGAAACUGAUCGGCUUGGGACCGGAAGACUCGAGGGGUACGUCCGGGGUAGGAGUGAAAUCCUGUAAUCCUGGACGGGCCACCGAUGGCGAAAGCACCUCGAGAGCACGGAUCCGACAGUGAGGAACGAAAGCUGGGGCCUCGAACCGGAUUAGAUACCCGGGUAGUCCCAGCUGUCAACGAUGCCCGCUAGGUAUGGCGCAGGCUACGAGCCUGUGCUAUGCCGUAGCGAAGGCGCUAAGCGGGCCGCCUGGGAAGUACGUUCGCAAGAAUGAAACUUAA
rnacentral:rRNA from 1 species